CGAAUGAGGAGAUUCAUCGUCAGCUUAUUCAGUAUUAAUGCAGGCUAUGAUGUGAUAAUAGAACCCUUGUGGUCACUAGAUUAUACUUGCUUGUAUUAUUUUUGCUGGGUAUGUCGGCGUGCACUUCUCCUCUAGUAGAACGUCGCAACCCGUUGGAUGUUUAUCUAUGGCUUGAAUGGUAGCCUUUGAUAUUUUUUAUAUUGAAGACCUUCGAUGUCCUGAUAAACUGUUUGACGGUAUACAUAUGGUAUUGAGCCGCAAUUAUUUGCGUUAGACUUGCCGCAAGUAUGACUUUAUUCUAGUAGUGCGGAUCUAAUGCCGUCGCUGGACAAAGUCUGCUGUUAGCUGUGUAA
rnacentral:rRNA from 2 species